rnacentral:rRNA from 1 species
GAUGAACGCUGGCGGCGUGCCUAAUACAUGCAAGUCGAGCGAACAGAUAAGGAGCUUGCUCCUUUGACGUUAGCGGCGGACGGGUGAGUAACACGUGGGUAACCUACCUAUAAGACUGGAAUAACUCCGGGAAACCGGGGCUAAUGCCGGAUAACAUUUAGAACCGCAUGGUUCUAAAGUGAAAGAUGGUUUUGCUAUCACUUAUAGAUGGACCCGCGCCGUAUUAGCUAGUUGGUAAGGUAACGGCUUACCAAGGCAACGAUACGUAGCCGACCUGAGAGGGUGAUCGGCCACACUGGAACUGAGACACGGUCCAGACUCCUACGGGAGGCAGCAGUAGGGAAUCUUCCGCAAUGGGCGAAAGCCUGACGGAGCAACGCCGCGUGAGUGAUGAAGGUCUUCGGAUCGUAAAACUCUGUUAUUAGGGAAGAACAAAUGUGUAAGUAACUGUGCGCGUCUUGACGGUACCUAAUCAGAAAGCCACGGCUAACUACGUG